rnacentral:rRNA from 1 species
CCUACGGGGGGCAGCAGUGAGGAAUAUUGGUCAAUGGGCGCGAGCCUGAACCAGCCAAGUCGCGUGAGGGAAGACGGUCCUAUGGAUUGUAAACCUCUUUUGUCGGGGAGCAAAAGACGCCACGCGUGGCGUUCCGAGAGUACCCGAAGAAAAAGCAUCGGCUAACUCCGUGCCAGCAGCCGCGGUAAUACGGAGGAUGCGAGCGUUAUCCGGAUUUUUUGGGGUUAAAGGGUGCGUAGGCGGACGCUUAAGUCAGCGGUAAAAGUGCGGGGCUCAACCUCGUCGGGCCGUUGAGACUGGGGGCCUUGAGUGGGCGUGAGGUACGCGGAAUGCGUGGUGUAGCGGUGAAAUGCAUAGAUAUCACGAAGAACUCCGAUUGCGAAGGCAGCGUACCGGCGCCCAACUGACGCUGAAGCACGAAGGCGUGGGUAUCGAACAGGAUUAGAUACCCGUGUAGUC